GUCCUCCAGCAUCCCUUCGUCAAAAUCCAGCAGUAAAUAAGGCGACGUCCUGUUGCCCAACUUCUCUGACGUGUUCGCUGCAAGUUCCGCGAAAGACAGCAUCUCACUCGUCUCCGGAUCAAGGCGAGUUGUGAGCCAAGGCCAACAGGAGUAUACAGACCAAGAUGGACAGCCGAAUGACGUCACCUACAUUCCCUUCGAUGCAAGACUUGAUAAUAGGGAGUC